rnacentral:ribozyme from 11 species
AACAUCUGGUGAAGAAACCGGCACAGGAAGGACGGAAGCUCAAUAGGAGGACGGCAGAAUAAUCGACAAAAGGAAAUUUGAAACGGGGAAAGUAAGCAGUCGACAUCUCUCUUCUUUAUAUUCCUUUCUUUCUUUCUUUCUUUCUCUUUCUCUCUUUC